rnacentral:rRNA from 1 species
UACGUAGGUGGCAAGCGUUAUCCGGAAUUAUUGGGCGUAAAGAGCGCGCAGGUGGUUAAUUAAGUCUGAUGUGAAAGCCCACGGCUUAACCGUGGAGGGUCAUUGGAAACUGGUUGACUUGAGUGCAGAAGAGGGAAGUGGAAUUCCAUGUGUAGCGGUGAAAUGCGUAGAGAUAUGGAGGAACACCAGUGGCGAAGGCGGCUCCCUGGUCUGCAACUGACACUGAGGCGCGAAAGCGUGGGGAGCAAACAGG